rnacentral:lncRNA from 1 species
GUGAAUUUGAGCCAUUAAUAUCCGCAGUUGCUACGGUAGAACAAUUCUUCCAAGUUCGUCACUUUUUUUAGCUUUCUUGCCGCAAGAUGUUCGCAUGUCGUAUCAUAUAUAGAUACACUUUUAAAAACUUGAGAUCCUCCCUCGCCCCGAAACUUAGGCUGUGUUUGGUUAAUGGAUUGAAACAGGUUUAACCUGUGUUUGGUUUAAAAAGUUUUCGGAUUAGGUUGGUUCUGGAUCAGAACUAGUGCGCACGUAGAAGCUGGGAGGUCAUGAGUCCUGAUUAAGGGCCCAUUAUCUCAUCUAGCCGUAGCUAGAUUUGAUUACCGUGGUGAAAACAUAAUUGUGUAAGGUUUGUCGAAAUUUAUUUGUAGAUUUUACAUUUUGUUGAAAACAUAAUCGUGUAUAGUUUGUCAAAAUGGAGUGGGUUCGAUGUUUACUAUAGAUGCAACAUGUCAUUGUUACGAGAUUAUAUUUUUUCCUUGAGUAUGCAAAAGAUUUUCGCAUCAUUAUAAUCAAGAUAGAAUAGUUUGAUCAUAUAAACAAUGUGUGUUUCUAGCGAACGCAUAGCCGAGAAUUUGAUUAUCCUAUCAUAUAGAUUCUAAUUACAAAUAGAAGACAAUGAAGAGCAACAACACAACCAAG